rnacentral:rRNA from 1 species
GACGAACGCUGGCGGCGUGCUUAACACAUGCAAGUCGAACGUGAUUUUUGUGGAAAUUCUUUCGGGAAUGGAAAUGAAAUGAAAGUGGCGAACGGGUGAGUAACACGUGAGCAACCUACCUUACACAGGGGGAUAGCCGUUGGAAACGACGAUUAAUACCGCAUGAGACCACAGAAUCGCAUGAUAUAGGGGUCAAAGAUUUAUCGGUGUAAGAAGGGCUCGCGUCUGAUUAGCUAGUUGGAAGGGUAAAGGCCUACCAAGGCGACGAUCAGUAGCCGGUCUGAGAGGAUGAACGGCCACAUUGGAACUGAGACACGGUCCAAACUCCUACGGGAGGCAGCAGUGGGGAAUAUUGCACAAUGGGGGGAACCCUGAUGCAGCGAUGCCGCGUGAGCGAAGAAGGUUUUCGAAUCGUAAAGCUCUGUCCUAUGAGAAGAUAAUGACGGUAUCAUAGGAGGAAGCCCCGGCUAAAUACGUGCCAGCAGCCGCGGUAAUACGUAUGGGGCGAGCGUUGUCCGGAAUUAUUGGGCGUAAAGGGUACGUAGGCGGUUUUUUAAGUCAGGUGUGAAAGCGUGAGGCUUAACCUCAUUAAGCACUUGAAACUGGAAGACUUGAGUGAAGGAGAGGAAAGUGGAAUUCCUAGUGUAGCGGUGAAAUGCGUAGAUAUUAGGAGGAAUACCGGUGGCGAAGGCGACUUUCUGGACUUUUACUGACGCUCAGGUACGAAAGCGUGGGGAGCAAACAGG